rnacentral:lncRNA from 1 species
GUGGCAGGCAGCGCUGCUCCGAGCUCUGACUCAGCCGGGCAGCCCAGCCCUAACUGCUGUUGACACGUGAUAACACGUGUUUGUUUAGCUGGAGCCACUCACCCAAGGGGUUAAUGUUCAACUCCCCCGUCCCCCGGAGCCGUGGCAGGUUGCUGGGUGGCGAGACCCUCGCCAGCCGGGCUGUGCUUCCUCCCCAGACAGCGAUGCUGACCGCUUCCACUGUGGGCAGGAAGAGAAAGCGUGAUAGGCCGGGGCCGAGCAGGAGGCAAGAGAGCACCGGCCCCCUCGCUGCCACCAAGAGAAGGAGGAAGAGGCAUGAGGUGGAGGGCUGCCCAGUGGGAGGUCCUGUCUCAGGCACGGUGCAGCCAGGAAAACAGGAUUUCAAGCAGAGAAGGAUUGAAUCCGGGCUCUUAGGCGCUUCUAGAACCCCUGAAAGAGCUGGAAGAGUGAAGAGCAGGCAGCACCCCCCGCCCCGACCUUGGUGUUUGGAAAUCAGGAAGUGCCGGAAUUGCAGGCGCCCCUGCACCACAACUGGGUAACCUGAAUCGGUGUCUGCUGCGUCAAGAGAUUUUCACAUAUUGAGUACAUGGGGUAACUAUUCGGGUUCAAACUGAUUCGGCUUGAACUGAGAAGGCUGACUUAAGGACUAUUCAAAGUACCCUGUAUUCUGCUUUAACCGUUAAAGUAUGCACUCCUUUGAGAUAAGAAUGUGUACUUCCCCUCCUACGCCCGAUUGGUGACGCCCGAUUGGUAACACCCGUGUUAGUCCCUUUCCUGACAUCAGGGUCAUGUUGACCUGCAAUUUGCAACUAAAUUCCUCCUUGAAACUUUGAAAAUGUAUCUUGGGUGUGUUGUUGUUGUUGUUGUUGGUGG